GUCGAGCGAAUGGAUUAAGAGCUUGCUCUUAUGAAGUUAGCGGCGGACGGGUGAGUAACACGUGGGUAACCUGCCCAUAAGACUGGGAUAACUCCGGGAAACCGGGGCUAAUACCGGAUAAYAUUUUGAACYGCAUGGUUCGAAAUUGAAAGGCGGCUUCGGCUGUCACUUAUGGAUGGACCCGCGUCGCAUUAGCUAGUUGGUGAGGUAACGGCUCACCAAGGCAACGAUGCGUAGCCGACCUGAGAGGGUGAUCGGCCACACUGGGACUGAGACACGGCCCAGACUCCUACGGGAGGCAGCAGUAGGGAAUCUUCCGCAAUGGACGAAAGUCUGACGGAGCAACGCCGCGUGAGUGAUGAAGGCUUUCGGGUCGUAAAACUCUGUUGUUAGGGAAGAACAAGUGCUAGUUGAAUAAGCUGGCACCUUGACGGUACCUAACCAGAAAGCCACGGCUAACUACGUGCCAGCAGCCGCGGUAAUACGUAGGUGGCAAGCGUUAUCCGGAAUUAUUGGGCGUAAAGCGCGCGCAGGUGGUUUCUUAAGUCUGAUGUGAAAGCCCACGGCUC
rnacentral:rRNA from 1 species